AUAUCCAACUGCCAACUUAUACUUUCCUAAGAUUUGUAAGAUUAAGUUGGCAAUAGAGGAAUGGAAGAAGUCCUCCAAUUCAGUUAUUGAGAUGAUGGCCACAAAAAUGAUGGAAAAGUUUCAAAUUUAUUGGAGUGGUGUUCAUGAUAUGAUGGGAGUUGCUGUAGUUUUGGAUCCUACAAAGAAGAUGAUUGUACUUGAUUUCUGGUUUCCUAAGUUAUAUGGCCAAGACUCAGGUGAACAAGCUAGUAGAAUCAAAGAGUUGUGUUAUAGUUUGCUUUAUGAUUAUCAGCAGAUGAGACAUAGAGAUGCACAACCUACCACUCCAUCCAUUGGUACAACUGUUGUUGUUGCUAACGAUGAAGAUGAAUUUUAUGCAUACGUUGCGACGAUUGCAGAAAACACAAGUUCAAGUGUUAAAUAUGAAUUAGAUCAUUAUUUGAAGGAGAGAGUUAUAAAAAAAAAACUCCAGAUUUUGACAUUUUGAAUUGGUGGAAGGUAAAUGGAGUUGUGUAUCCAACACUUCAAGCAAUUGCAAGAGAUGUGUUAGCUAUUCCUAUCUCUACAGUAGCUUCUGAAUCAGCCUUCAGUACUAGUGGUCGAAUAUUGAGUCCUCAUCAUAGUCGACUUAACCGGACUACCGUAGAGGCUUUGAUGUGUGCUAGGAGUUGGCUAUGGGCUGCUGAGAAUGAUGGAACUUCUAAAGUUGCACAAGAAUAUGCUACUAUGUUGAAUGAAAUGGAGUCUGACGAUGAAGCUGAAUUAAUGGAAAGCAGUUUCGGUUACCAUUUUGAAGACUAGAAGUUGUUGUUUCUAUGUUUUAACAUGGUGUGUCUAUUUGAGAGAGCUUGAAGAUGGAAUGCUUGUGUUUGAAUUUUGCUUGGAAGUUGGAAGAACUUAAUUUUAGUUUAGUUGCA